rnacentral:rRNA from 1 species
UACGUAGGGGGCAAGCGUUGUCCGGAAUCAUUGGGCGUAAAGGGCGUGUAGGCGGCCCGGUAAGUCCGCUGUGAAAGUCCAGGGCUCAACCCUGGAAUGCCGGUGGAAACUGUCGAGCUAGAGUCCGGAAGAGGCGAGUGGAAUUCCUGGUGUAGCGGUGAAAUGCGCAGAUAUCAGGAGGAACACCGGUGGCGAAGGCGGAUCUCUGGGCCUGUCCUGACGCUGAGGCGCGAAAGCUAGGGGAGCGAACAGG